UUGGUCCGGGGCGAUAAUACGAAGCCACUCUUUUCACAGGGCAAUAAUGUACGACCCCAUAAUUCGCGUCCAAUAAUAUGAGUCCCUUGGCUUUCAAUUAUUGGGCUGCGCAUUAUUGGUACAGGUCGAGAAAGCCCGACCCAAUAAUGUACGACCCAAUAAUAGGAAGCCAAAAACCAGAGACAUUCUUUUUUUUAAGGGAGCUGUCAAAAUUAGUAGGGACGUUCUGACAUUAGCUCUUGACAAUUUAAAAAUAAUCGGUUUUUUCUAGUGCCAUCUUUCAGUGACAUUGACAGUAUUGUAUUGACACUUGUUGGUUUACAAAUACAAUAAAAUGAAUUCUAAUAAAAGAAACAGUAGACUCAGUAGAGGUACGAGGUACUGAAAAAAUAUUAAUUAAUGGAGAAGCCGAAGUUGGAGGAAAACAAGAAGAUUCGAGGAGAAUGGUGUGGCACUUAAUGCCGCCCCGGGACAGUAACCUAGCUGCAGCUCCAACUCUAGGGAAUUGGGCUGAAUGAACGCAACACGUGAUCGACAGCCCACCUGCUUCCUGCCGAGCGUCCCUACACUACAUCUACAUGGAUGCCUCGCUUAUUCUGCUCUACAAAACUUCUGAGCUGAUACAAGCAGCCAGAAUGAGUCUCUGCUGAGUCGCCGGCGCCGGACGUGCGUCGCGCGCCUCGGGCGACUGGCGUCUUCGUGUGAGUCGCCAAUUGCAGGGGAAGAUACGAAUAGUUAGGUAUAAAAGCUACUUUAGUCAACCUCGCCUCAGUACUGUUUGUAUUGACUGAAAUACAAGUAGCAUAGAUGAGACGUUCGGACGUAUCCGUGAAAAUACGAAGGUAAAGGAAAUUGCACUACAUUUUUAGAACCUAUUCACCUGUCAGUAAAAUAUUGAAAAGGAAAGUUCAUGAGUUUUAUAAUUUUCUUUCCUCCAACAGCUUCACAUGGAGCAAAUGUAAACCUUUUAUGUUAAUAAUAUCAGUAAUGUCAAGGUACAACGCUCUUUAGAGCAUAUUGCCAUUCCUUUUACUCGAGUGGCCUGUGGGUUAACUAUACGAAGCGUGCCUACAAUGCAUUAAAAGUGCAGUAUAACAAUGCAUUCAGAAUGCUGUUGGGCUUACCUCGUAGAUGUAGUGCAUCUGGCAUGUUUUGCGAAGCUAGAAGUUUUCUGGCAAUCAUGCGAUGCAAGAAAAUAGUAUCUCUGCUAGGUCGAGUUAGAAGCAGUCCCAAACAUACAUGUUCGAAAAGUAGAACUCCCUUAGAUCGUGUUUCAAUUUAUCGCCUCUCGUUGGCAAUUAAGGUGGUUCGCUUUCCAUACAAAAAAACAAUUACAUAAGUACCUAAUAGUGUGUAAUUACUUAAUAUAACGCAAUUGUUUUUUGUAUGGAACGCGAACCACCUUAACUAUUCGCACAACGUUUUGUAGUUGCAGUAAGUACUUACAUAUGGCCGGUUAAAUUUUCGAAAUAGGUAUGUAUUUACGUACAGUGCUAAUUGCCGCACAUAGAAUAGUUAAAGUUUGAUCAAUCGGAAUAUGUUCAUAAGUCACUUAUUACAUUUCGAAUUAUAAGUCUGUAUUUUCCAGCUUUAGAUGUGCAUGACUGAAUAUGCACAUCUAAAGAUGAAAAAUGCUUUCAUGAAUACGUUUAUAAUUAUAGCUAAAUUAUGUUAAUAGGGACAAAUGUAUGAUUUUCAACCAAAGAGGUACUUAUUAUCUGUUGUCAAUAAGGCGCUAUUUCCAUAAAGCUUCAAUUUGAAAUCAGCCUCGUCGACAACCGACAAUGUUAACCUUUUGGUUGAAAACGUCACAAAUUAUGGCGAUAGAGAAUACAAUGUUCUGUUGCCAGAGUGCAGCACUAGUAAAACCCGUAAACGAGUGAAUUGCAAAAAAGUGUAGGUAACACAAUGGAAUAUUCACAAAAAUAUGCAAGAAUGUAACACAAAAUGAAGAAAAUGUAUGUGUUUUUUUUUGUGAUACGUCACACAAAGGAAGCCAAAAUCGACGCCGCAAUAUUUUCACGACGUGUAGAAUAAAAGUGGCGUCGAAUUCAGGAAUCCGCAAAUACCAUACCGAUAGCCAAGUAAUUUAUCUAUAGAACAAUGUUCAAACAGUAGUAGAAACGGUUAGCUUUGCAAACUUUUAGUAGAUUGGUUUGGUUUUGGUAGAUCUCUCGGUUUGGCAUGCUCGAUGCUCUUCACAUCACCACAGACGGAGGUCGACAGUUCGAAUCUGUCUUGUUCAAGCAAUUGAUGGAGGCACAUGCACGGAUACGAACCACAUAUUACACUACUAUCCUGGAGCUAAUUGGAUUAUUUGCAUCUACUAUUAUAGUAUAUACCUAUGCCUUAUUUUUACGCCUAAGAGACCCUAAGCUUUUAACAAAAACCAUUAUUUCUUUUAUACUUACGGGCGGUUUAGCUCCCGUACCUACCUCUAUUAUACCUAGCCACUUGCUAAAGCAACGAUGUCCUUUAAAUCCGUAUCCCGUAUCGU